UGCAUAGGUUGGGGAGUUCCUGCUCCCGGGUGUCCCACAACCCACACUUCUACCCUACCUAGACUGGCCUGGGGUGAUGCCGACCAUGAGGCUGAUCAUCCUGCACUGUGCACUGUGACUGGCAGGGGGCGCUGAAACAGCCUUUUCUGCCCCCACGUGGUGCGCAUGCGUGUUCUCACCACAGCCGCUGCGUGUUGUGCGUGGCGUGGCGUCCAUAUUGAGUAGAAGGAGAGCAUCUCUGGCUCUUUCAGGAUCCGCUUGAGAAGGCACCGCUGCGGUUUGGGAACGAUUUGGAGACUUGUCCUGGGGAGGAAACAGCUCCUGCCUGUGGCCCUGACUGCCUAGGUGGGAGCUGCGUGCAACUCACCUUCUCCCGGGCAUUUUUUUCCUACAUGGUUUCUCCAAGUGGUUGCAGAUGACAUGAUUUCCUGAAGUGUUACAGCUGAAGUGUGUUUCCUUGUGUAUAUAUACUGUGGUUCCUUUAUCCAUUCAUCUGUGGAUAGACAGGUGCAACCGUGUGGUUCCCCAUGAUAUGAUUUCAUUGUGGUUUUCUGUCUGAAGAGUAUCCCGGUGUGAACAUGUGGAACAGUUUCUUUCUCCCUUCGUCUGUGGAUAAGCAGAUGUGGUUAGCCUGAAUUCCUGAUGCUCACCAAGGUGUGUAAUGUUGUCCAAGGCCCAGUGCAGAGGAACACAGGUGUUGCCGUCAGACUGCCAGGGUCCGAUCCCGCCUCCAUCACUCACCCCGGGAGCUCCCUUUAAGCCAGGAGUCAACAGCGAGAUGGAAACAUGAGUGCUUUUUAAAGUCCUAAAAGUUCAGAGGAUGACCGUGAAUUUCUCCUGCACCCCUGGGCACACACCAGGAGAACUGUGUCUCCAGGUUCAACAGAAAACACACACAGCCAAGCCCAGAUGCCAGUCUUGCUAGCAGCCUUCCUUUACCUUCGAGACUGGGCCAAGGCUCACAGUACUUUGGAAUCUCAUGCUCGUAACAGUCUGCAUUGGAAGAGAAAUGGAGAGAGGAGAAAACUUGAGAAUCCACACUACUCACUCUGCAGGGCCAAGAACUCUGUCUCCCGUGCACUGCUGAUCCAUCUCAGUAUUUCCUAUGACCACUUCCUUUUUCAACUGAAGACUCUGCACCUGAAGGGGUUCCCAGGUUUUUCACCUUGGCCCUUGUCAGGACUGAUCCUCUCGGCUACUGUCCAUUUCACCUCCAUUCAUGUCCAUGCCACAUCAGGCUGUGUUGUCCAGAUGGAAUGAAUCCACCCCAAAUGUCCCUUUCUGGAGGAAGCCACCAUGAUGCUGUACCUCCAACACGUCCACACACACCGAGGCACCUCGCUCACGCAAGGUGUGUGUCCUCCAACCAAGUUUCAUGCUGUAAACCCAGGAAACUUGUGGAAGAUCCUGAAGGGUGACAUCUUUGAGGGAGCCUGAGACACAGCGAGACAAGCUAAGAAGGAGGGCAGUGCCACAGCAGAACUGCUAUUGAUGCCCCCUCACCUAGAUUCCAGAAGAGACAUCCAGCUAUAGACACUGAGGUGCAGGAAAACAGUGGAGCACCCAGCACCCAUCAGAGAAAGCAGUGCCCAGGAACAUGGAGGCACUGAUGGUGGCAAGGGGAAAAGACAGCUGCCAUGAGGCUGUUCUCAUGAGGGUCUCAGGCUGCACAGACACCCACAUUGGCUGACGGGUACUGGUUUUCAUAAGGGUGUGGCUCAGCCAGGCCACCAACAAGCAGUUAACAAACAGUAGUAAUACGACACUUCCAAAGACCUUACUUGAGUAACACGGUGAUCCUCACAAAUUUCCAAUCACGACGGUCGCACAGUUCCUUCUGUUUUAGGACAGAGCCUGCCCGUGUCUGUCCUGUCUGUUGACCACGGGUCAGAGGUACCGGCUGCACUGGGGAGUAAGAAUGUCACCUUCUCAACUUUGGGAAAACUCCCUGCUAGAACUGAGAAUGGCCCUUUCUAAGCAGAAGGCAAGCUCAGACUAAAGGAGGAGGCAGGCCGGGCGCAGUGGCUCAAGCCUGUAAUCCCAGCACUUUGGGAG